rnacentral:rRNA from 1 species
UACGAAGGGGGCUAGCGUUGCUCGGAAUAACUGGGCGUAAAGGGCGCGUAGGCGGCCGAUCAAGUCAGAGGUGAAAGCCCAGGGCUCAACCCUGGAAUUGCCUUUGAUACUGUUCGGCUAGAGACCGGAAGAGGUUAGUGGAACUGCGAGUGUAGAGGUGAAAUUCGUAGAUAUUCGCAAGAACACCAGUGGCGAAGGCGGCUAACUGGUCCGGUUCUGACGCUGAGGCGCGAAAGCGUGGGGAGCAAACAGG